GCGCCCGUAGCUCAGCUGGAUAGAGCGUUGGCCUCCGGAGCCAAAGGUCGAAGGUUCGAAUCCUUUCGGGUGCACCA
rnacentral:tRNA from 1 species